rnacentral:piRNA from 1 species
UGCAUGUGCGACGUUUUUAUAGAGGCAGU